rnacentral:rRNA from 1 species
CACGCUGUAAACGAUCAAUACUAGGUGUGCGGGGACUGACCCCCUGCGUGCCGCAGUUAACACAAUAAGUAUUGCACCUGGGGAGUACGAUCGCAAGGUUGAAACUCAAAGGAAUUGACGGGGGCCCGCACAAGCGGUGGAUUAUGUGGUUUAAUUCGAAGCAACGCGAAGAACCUUACCAGGGUUUGACAUGGAGACGACCGGUACAGAGAUGUACCUUCCCUUCGGGGCGUCUCACACAGGUGG